rnacentral:rRNA from 1 species
ACGUGGGUAACCUGCCCUUUGGCCCGGGAUAACUGAGGGAAACUUCAGCUAAUACCGGAUAAGACCACGUAAUGAGAAUUACGUGGGAAAAGCGGGGAACUUCUUCGGAAGCCUCGCACCAGAGGAUGGGCCCGCGGUCCAUCAGGUAGUUGGUGGGGUAAUGGCCUACCAAGCCUAAGACGGAUAGCUGGUCUGAGAGGAUGAUCAGCCACACUGGAACUGAGACACGGUCCAGACUCCUACGGGAGGCAGCAGUGGGGAAUAUUGCGCAAUGGGCGAAAGCCUGACGCAGCAACGCCG